rnacentral:rRNA from 1 species
CCUACGGGGGGCAGCAGUGGGGAAUAUUGGACAUUGGGGGCAACCCUGAUCCAGCCAUGCCGCGUGUGUGAAGAAGGCCCUCGGGUUGUAAAGCACUUUCAGUGAGGAAGAACGCCUGGUGGUUAAUACCCAUCAGGAAAGACAUCACUCACAGAAGAAGCACCGGCUAACUCCGUGCCAGCAGCCGCGGUAAUACGGAGGGUGCGAGCGUUAAUCGGAAUUACUGGGCGUAAAGCGCGCGUAGGUGGCUUGAUAAGCCGGUUGUGAAAGCCCCGGGCUCAACCUGGGAACGGCAUCCGGAACUGUCAAGCUAGAGUGCAGGAGAGGAAGGUAGAAUUCCCGGUGUAGCGGUGAAAUGCGUAGAGAUCGGGAGGAAUACCAGUGGCGAAGGCGACCUUCUGGACUGACACUGACACUGAGGUGCGAAAGCGUGGGUAGCAAACAGGAUUAGAUACCCCAGUAGUC